CUUCAGUGCCUCUUUUCUUGAGAUGAUAUGAAAACCAGAUACAGCAAUUGUUCAUCUGAUUUUCGGUUCUUAUGCAGGCUCAUCAGUGAACUGUGUGACCAAACAGAACAGAAGCUUGUUUUUCAUUCAUGCUACCUACUCCUCCCGGAGCUGGCAGGAGUUCUUGUCCACAUUGUCAAGCGGGGUCAUUGACGACUGAAUUUCCCACAUUUUGUGACAGCUGCAUCUAGAAUAUGCAGCACUCUCCAUCAUCACGUGAGAAAAAGAGAUUGGAGAAUCACCCAGAGCUCUUUAUUGCCUCAGCCAAAUAAGUGACAUAUGUCAUGUCUCAUGAUUCAUUGGCCAGAACUAGGCCCGUGGCCCUGUCUAACUGCAAGGGAGCUGGAAAAUGUGGAGAAGCAGAUGGAAUAUUGGAUAUUUAAAUACUACUGCUUUAA